GCUAUAGCCAAGCGGUAAGGCACAGCACUUUGACUGCUGCAUUCGUGGGUUCGAAUCCCGCUAGC
rnacentral:tRNA from 1 species